rnacentral:rRNA from 1 species
CCUACGGGGGGCAGCAGUGAGGAAUAUUGGUCAAUGGGCGAGAGCCUGAACCAGCCAAGUAGCGUGAAGGAUGAAUGCCCUACGGGUUGUAAACUUUUUUUAUAAGGGAAUAAAGUGAGGCAAGUGUGCAUUUUUUGUAUGUACUUUAUGAAUAAGGAUGGGCUAACUCAGUACCAGCAGCCGCGGUAAUACGGAGGAUCCGAGCGUUAUCCGGAUUUAAUGGGUUUAAAGGGAGCGUAGAUGGUUUGUUAAGACAUUUGUGAAAGUUUGCGGCUCAACCUUAAAAUUGCAAUUGAUACUGGCAGUCUUGAGUACAGGUGAGGUAAGCGGAAUUCGUGGUGUAGCGGUGAAAUGCGUAGAUAUCACGAAGAACUCCGAUGGCGAAGGCAGCUUACUAAACUGCCACUGACAUUGAGGCUCGAAAGUGUGGGUAUCAAACAGGAUUAGAUACCCCAGUAGUC